GCAAGAUAAAAACCCAAUUUAUUUUAAACAUUUCUCUUCAUCCCAUAUUUCCGAUAGUCACACGCCGCUGCGUUCGUGGCCUUCUGACGAAAAAAAACGUCCACCGCCACCGAUCUGCCGCCUAAGAUGCCGAUGACUCUAGAAGAACUUUCGGAUUCACAGACCUCAACGGAAACCUACUUAGAGGAAAAGUCUUCAGCCUCCACAUCCGCCGUCUUGCUCGACGCCGCCGGUAACCAUAUCAUCACCUUCCAGCAGAAGGAGAUGACAGGUUUUCAGAGGAGAACAGAUUCAAAGAAUAUGCUUUUUUUAGUGUGAGAAAGUCAUCGAUGAUUCAGUUCAAGACGAAGCUGGAUAUGUCCAAGGUUGCUAAUUCCAAAGAGGAUCGCUGUGAUUUUAGGAUUGAAGGCAGCUGGUUUGAGCGAUCAUGAGCCAUAUACGCCAGAGACACCAAUAGUGUCAUUGCUCAACUUUACUCAAUGGAUUCUACUACUAAUUGGCUUCAUUCGAUCUUUGUUGAGGUAAUUCUGCAUCUAAGAGCCUUACCACUGUUAUGUGAUUUGCACAACUAACAUACCCCUUGACAAAUUGUUUGGGUUUUAUAUUUUCUUAGUAACAAGUAUUUUAUAUGAUGUUGUUGGAAAACUCCAUGUUUCUACACAAUAUUGUGAGUGAUCAAAGGCCUAAACUAUUGAAAAGUAGAAGUGAACAGAUGCCUAAGUUAUGAUAUACCCUAAGGAGCUCAAAACAAGGAAUUUGCACCCUUCUUCAUUCAGAUUUUACAAUUUUGAAUGCCAAGAAAGCCGUUGUCAAAUUCGACCUUUUCAAACAUGGCACCAAAACUAAAUUGUUGUAGGUGUUUACAAAGACAAAGUAUGAGGCUUACUCUAAUAUUAAGUAGUAACUCUCAGGAUGUAUUUCGGAUUACUCCCAGCUGCUAUUUCACUUAUAGCAAGAAAAUGUCGACGGCUCCUCCGAUGUUAUUCAAACGAACGGAUGUUCGAAGACGGUGGUGCGGAUAGAGGCGAGCAUACUCGGAGAAACAAACUGCUGCAUUGGUAGAACAAGUGAAAAGCCUUUAGUCAACAAUUCCUACAAAUGAAAAGAAGCUAAGGAUAGAUUAAGCAAUGCAGACUGUAUGAAGUGUGUAAAACAAUUUUAUUUAAUUGAAUACAUUUCUGAAUUCCAUUUA